CCUACGGGGUGCAGCAGUGGGGAAUAUUGCACAAUGGGCGCAAGCCUGAUGCAGCCAUGCCGCGUGUAUGAAGAAGGCCUUCGGGUUGUAAAGGACUUUCAGCGAGGAGGAAGGCGUUACGGUUAAUAACCUUAGCGAUUGACGUUACUCGCAGAAGAAGCACCGGCUAACUCCGUGCCAUCAGCCGCGGUAAUACGGAGGGUGCAAGCGUUAAUCGGAAUUACUGGGCGUAAAGCGCACGCAGGCGGUCUGUCAAGUCGGAUGUGAAAUCCCCGGGCUCAACCUGGGAACUGCAUUCGAAACUGGCAGGCUAGAGUCUUGUAGAGGGGGGUAGAAUUCCAGGUGUAGCGGUGAAAUGCGUAGAGAUCUGGAGGAAUACCGGUGGCGAAGGCGGCCCCCUGGACAAAGACUGACGCUCAGGUGCGAAAGCGUGGGGAGCAAACAGGAUUAGAUACCCGCGUAGUC
rnacentral:rRNA from 1 species